UGUGUAGGCGGCUGCGCAAGUCGGAUGUGAAAGCCCCGGGCUCAACCCGGGAAGUGCACCCGAAACUGCGUAGCUCGAGUACCGGAGAGGUUGGUGGAAUUCUUGGUGUAGAGGUGAAAUUCGUAGAUAUCGAGAGGAACACCGGUGGCGAAGGCGGCCAACUGGACGAGUACUGACGCUGAGACACGAAAGCGUGGGGAGCAAACAGGAUUAGAUACCCUGGUAGUCCACGCCGUAAACGAUGGGUGCUAGGUGUCACGGGCUUUGACUCCUGUGGUGCCGUAGCCAACGCAUUAAGCACCCCGCCUGGGAAGUACGGCCGCAAGGCUAAA
rnacentral:rRNA from 1 species